rnacentral:lncRNA from 1 species
AUGCAUCCGAAACAUGAGAGUGAGAAAGCCAAGCUCUUGAGUGCAAAGGAGCCUCACAAAAGUCAGAUCUGCAGGAGAAAUGACCUUAUUUUGUUCACUCAGUUGUCUGCUGAUUGCACUGAUUCCUGGUGGAUGAAAGUUUACUCACCCACGAGCCCUGUCAGUAAUGGAACACCCCUCUUCACCCCGCAGCUGAGGUUCUGA